UCCUCAGUAGCUCAGUGGUAGAGCGAUCGGCUGUUAACCGAUUGGUCGUAGGUUCAAAUCCUUCCUGAGGAG
rnacentral:tRNA from 14 species